GGUUGUUUUUCUCUUGUAAUGCCUCAACAAAUCAUGUCAUAUUAGAACAUUAUGUACUAAGGGACCUCCCCUUUACAAAAGCAGCUUGUUGGUCUGAGACUAUACUUGGCAAAACUACCUUAAGCCUUUCACACAACACCUUUGAGACACACUUAUAUAAUACAUUGCAACAUGAUAUUGGCCUAAAUUGACCUGCUAUUUGUGGUACAUUCACUUUAGGUAUAAGUGCAAUCAUAGUAGCAUUCAUCUGCUUUAAUAUUUUGCCAUUCCUCAAGGACUGUAGCACCGCAUCAGUCACAUCUUUACCUACAAUACUCCAUGCUGCCUUGUAGAACCCACUACCAAAGCCAUCUGGUCCCGGACUCUUAUUGCUAUCAAUGCUAAACAUGACUUUUUUAACCUCUUUCUUUGUGUACCCCUUUACCAGAUCCAACUGCUGCUCUAAAAUUACAACAGGUUCUAAUUUGCACCUCAAAUGACCCCUAAGUGUCUAGUUGACAAAGACAUGGUUACAGGGGUUCAAAUUACAGCUUGAGUCAAGUACAAGGUCUUCGAGGUCAUUUAAUUAUUUUUACUUUUCAUGUAUUUUGUUUCUUUUAAAAAACAGGCAAAUGAUUGAGGUUUCAAUUACUUCAAAUAGAAAGGAGAUGUGCAACUUUUCAACGAAUAAAUAAAGAAUUUAACAGUAAAACAAUUAAGGAUAAAUGUGAUAUUGUAACACCGUAUUCAUUUGAACUUAGUUAUUUUAACUAAUAAUAUAAAGGACAUUUAUCAAUAGACUUUUAUUACUAAAAGAAAAAUUAUUUUAAAUAUUUAUUAUAAUAAUUUUUAAUUAAUUUUUUAUUUAUUUAAUUAAAGGGAUUUUAGUGUCAGCCAUACAAAGGAAAAAGCUUUUAAACUGACGAAUCACUUUUCUUUUUCUACUAAAAGGCACAGGGAAUCACCUUUGGAAUCAAUGUUGCACCAGACACUUCUAAUGCCCCUAUGUACAAUGGAUCACUAGAGUCUAGGUGCCAUCUAAUUCUUCAAAAAACAACUGAAUCUACACUGAUCUAGACAGUUCAUCUUCUUUUGUCUCUGGGAAAUGAUAAGUGUAUUAUAAAACGAUACCAAAAUCUCCACUCUCUUGUAUUCCAUAUAUUAACCAUAUUCAGUAUUUUUUUUUUCUGUAGUAAGUGGAUGAUCUUAAGUCCAUGACACUUGAAUCUGUACUUCUGCUGCAACACAGAAGUCCUUCCUGAUCAGCUGGCACUGCUAAGGCAAAAGCCAAAAGGAAAAAGACAUUCACCAAGAUGUCAUCAGAUACGGUUAUCACUCUGAUUUGCUCCUUCGAAAUGCACUAACUGACAUGUACGGCAAGUGUAAGUACGCGCAAGGUGCAAGAGAAGUUUUUGAUAAUUUAAGUGCUAAAGAUGUAAUCUCUUGCACGUAUGUUAACUGUAAACUUCCAAGAGAAGCGCUAACAACUUUCCAUGAAAUGGGAUAGUUUUCUUGUUUUUCGUCAUCUUGAUUAGGUUAUGGAAGAAAGAUUCAAUCUUUAUUGAUUUUGCUUGUGUGAAAGUAACCUUUCGUGGAAGAAAGAUCCAAUCUUUAUCGAUUUUAUCAGAUGAAGCUGGAAAUGACCAGUUGAUGUUGAUCAACACUGAGAUCACAAAGAUGUGCUGCUCUAUUGAUAUGCAAUUUGAGAAUGAUCCAAGUUUAUCUGUUGUAAUGGGGGAUUUUCCUUUUCUGAAUUUUUCUCUCAAGACUGCUGGGGUUGAUUUUCAUCCGAAGACAAAUCUUUUAGCAUCUGAGCCUGUAAAAAGCAAGAAGCACAAAUACCCAGUUUGCUUCAAAGUUUUCCCAUUAGGCCAAUCUUUGGGAGGCCACAAGAGGGCUCAUUACACUGGAUUCACUGAGAGCAAAACUAAAGAGCCUAUGGUGAAAAAAUUGGAUGACCUUGCUGAUAAUCAUAAGGCUUUUGAUCUGAAUACUCCUGUAAAUGCUGUGGAUGAAGGGGAAUGAUGUUGAGCUCAAGCUUUGGUGGGUUAGAAGUAGCGACGCUGUUGAUGUCAAAUUGAGAGAGUACUUCAUUCUCAGUUUCUGCUCUAGAGGUUGAAGAACUAGACGAUUCAUGAUUCAUUUUCAUUCUUGAAUUUCAUAAUUGUAAAGAUAAUUUUGAGUCCUGGAAUAGUUAAACAGUUGAAUAAUGACACAGGAAAGAUUAGAGUUCCCAGUUACUGACUGAACCAUAAUAGGAAUAAGGCAUACAAAUUACUACAACAUUACUGUUUACUUUCUGUUCAUUGCAUUCUUGCAUUGUAGUACAUAUUUUCCCAGGCCA